ACUUUCAACAACGGAUCUCUUGGCUCUCGCAUCGAUGAAGAACGCAGCGAAAUGCGAUAGGUAGUGUGAAUUGCAGAAUUCAGUGAAUCAUCGAAUCUUUGAACGCACAUUGCGCCCGCCAGUAUUCUGGCGGGCA
rnacentral:rRNA from 1 species